rnacentral:rRNA from 1 species
GACGAACGCUGGCGGCGCGCUUAACACAUGCAAGUCGAACGGAAAGGCCUGCUUUCCCUUGUGGAUUGCGGGUACUCGAGUGGCGAACGGGUGAGUAACACGUGAGUGAUCUGCCCCCAACUUGGGUAUAAGCCUGGGAAACUGGGUCUAAUUCCCGAUAGGACUGCAGGGUGGUGCCUGUGGUGGAAAACGAUUUUCUAGUGGUUGGGGAUGAGCUCGCGGCCUAUCAGCUUGUUGGUGGGGUAAUGGCCUACCAAGGCGGCGACGGGUAGCCGGCCUGAGAGGGUGGACGGCCACAUUGGGACUGAGAUACGGCCCAGACUCCUAAGGGAGGCAGCAGGGGGGAAUAUGGCACAAUGGGCGGAAGCCUGAUGCAGCGACGCCGCGUGGGGGAUGACGGCCUUCGGGUUGUAAACUCCUUUCGACCGCGAGGAAGCCACCUGGUUGGAAGGGUGGUGACGGUAGUGGUAGAAGAAGCACCGGCUAACUACGUG